AGGUGGACGACAUCCUUGGAGAAGGCAGCGACGACAGCGACAGCGAGAAGAGGAGGCCUGAGGAGCAGGAGGAGGAGCCCCAGCCCCGGAAGCCAGGGACCCGCAGGGAGCGGACGCUCGGGGCACCUGCGUCCAGCGAGAGGAGCGCGGCAGGGGGCCGGGGGCCCAGUUCUCAAAACGGAGUGAGGUGGAGGAAGCCUAAUGGGAGGAUGGGAGCCGGGUUUUCCCGGAACAGCCGUCAGCGUGUAUGCGGAGGAAAAGAGAUGACUGAUGAAUUUGUUAAUUGCCAAAAGCUUGUUGCUGUAGCAACCGGAGGCCAGACUCGUGGCCCUGACAGCGUCGUUAGUGUCAGCAGAGACUGGAAAUAAAGGAAACUCGUGU
rnacentral:lncRNA from 1 species